rnacentral:rRNA from 1 species
UACGUACGAGGCGAGCGUUAUCCGGAAUUACUGGGCGUAAAGGGUGCGUAGGUGGUUGGACAAGUUGGGUGUGAAAGUCCUGGGCUUAACCUGGGGAUUGCAUUUGAUACUGUCUGGCUAGAGUACUGUAGAGGAAGGUGGAAUUUCCAGUGUAGCGGUGAAAUGCGUAGAUAUUGGAAGGAACAUCAGUGGCGAAGGCGACUUUCUGGACAGAUACUGACACUGAGGCACGAAAGCAUGGGGAGCAAACAGG